rnacentral:tRNA from 2 species
CAGGAAAUAGUUUAACAAAGAGAACAAUAGCUUUGGGAGUUGUCGGUAUAAGUGUAAGUCUUAUUUUCCUGA